AAAGGUAAAUAAGGGCACUAAUAGUGGAUGCCUUGACAAUCAAUACCGAUGAAGGACGUAGAACUCUGCGAUAAGUCUUGGGGAGCUGAGAGCAAGCUUUGAUCCAGGAAUUUCCGAAUGGGGCAACCCAAUACGAGUCAUGUCGUAUUGCAAUUACCUGAAUACAUAGGGUAAUUAGACGGGAACCAACCGAACUGAAUCAUCUUAGUAGGUUGAGGAAAAGAGAAUAAACAAUGAUUCCGAAAGUAGUGGCGAGCGAAAUUGGAGCAGCCUAAACCUUAACAUAACCAUACGGUUUAACGGCCAGAGUUAUGAAAGGGGUUGCGAAAUAAGAUAAUUUUUAUGCUGAGGUAUUGGAAAUCCGAUAUUUCAGUAUAAAAACCAACAUCGUUAAAUGAGUGGAUAAUGUUAUAAAACUUAGAUCAUAGCGGAAGUGUUUGAAUGGCACACCAAAGAAGGUGAGAGUCCUGUAUGCGAAAUGGUCUUAGACAUUAUAUAUCUUUUUUCAAGUAGGACGGGGCACGAGAAACCCUGUUUGAAUCUGGCAGGACCACCUGCCAAGGCUAAAUAUAUUGAUUGAUCGAUAGCGAACUAGUACAGUGAUGGAAAGGUGAAAAGAACCCCGGGAGGGGAGUGAAAUAGAUCCUGAAACUUAGUGCCUACAAGGUGUCGGAGCAGCUUCGGCUGUGACGGCGUGCUUUUUGUAGAACGAUCCAGCGAGUUAAUGUUGUCGGCGAGGCUAAGUCAAAUGAUGGAGCCACAGUGAAAGCGAGCCUUAACAGGGCGACAAGUCGGCAGUAUUAGACCCGAAACCGGGUGACCUAACCAUGAGCAGGUUGAAGCUGCAGUAACAUGCAGUGGAGGACCGAACCAGGAUACGCAGUAAAGUGUUUGGAUGACUUGUGGUUAGCGGUGAAAUGCCAAUCGAACUCGGAGAUAGCUGGUUCUCCUCGAAAUAGCUUUAGGGCUAGCGUCGUGUUAGUAGCACAUGGGGGUAGAGCUCUGUAAAGGACUGGGGCGGGCAACUGUACCCACCCUUAACAAACUACGAAUACCAUGUGUGUAAUCACGGCAGUUAGAACAUCGGUGCUAAGAUCGGUGCUCAAAAGGGAAACAGCCCAGACCAUCAUCUAAGGUCCCUAAAUUAACGUUCAGUGGGAAACAAGGUGAGAUUUCUUAAACAGCUAGGAUGUUGGCUUAGAAGCAGCCAUUCAUUUAAAGAGUGCGUAACAGCUCACUAGUCAAGAGAUUUUGCGUGGAAAAUGUAACGGGGCUAAAGUGUUAAACCGAAGACAUGGACUUCAUAUUUUAUGGAGUGGUAGAGGAGCGUUGAUAUCGCAGUGAAGUCAGAUUGUAAAGUCUGGUGGAGCGUUAUCAAGUGAGAAUGCUGGAAUCAGUAACCUUAAGACAGGUGAGAAUCCUGUCGGUCGUAAGAGCAAGGUUUCCAGGGCUACAGUAAUUGCCCCUGGGUUAGUCGGUCCUAAGCCGAGGCGUAUCUGCGUAGGCGAUGGACAACAGGUUAAUAUUCCUGUACAGGUAGUAGUUGUUAACAGUUCACGGUGAGUGACCGGAGCGGAUUAAUGGUUUAUCCGUCCAAGGCUUCAAGGAAUUGAAGUUGAGUGAAAGAUAUUCUUCGGAAUAUUGAUUCUGGGUACAACGCUGGCUAGAAAAGCUGGUUAACUUAUGCUGCUGCCUACCGUACCGCAAACCAACACCGGUGCUCGGGUCGAGUAGACCAAGACCUACGUGAGAACCUUCGCUAAGGAACUCGGCAAAAAAGCGUCCGUAACUUCGGAAUAAGGACUGCCCUCUCAUUAAGAUGAGGAUUUGCUAGAAACUUGGUGGAAACAUAAGGUUAAUAGUAUUUACCUAAUAAUUUAACCAAAUUUUUCGUCAAGACAGAACACAUCAGGAAAUAUCCUGUGAUAUCUUUUCUAGUAACUCAAUCGUCAUUUUGAUGAGAGGGUCGCAGCUAAAGAGCCCACGGAACUGUUUAACAAAAACAUAGGUCUCUGCUAACGCGAAAGCGGAUGUAUAGGGGCUGACUCCUGCCCGGUGUCGGAAGGUUAAGGGGAGAGCUUUACGGUUCGAACUGAAGCCCCGAUGAACGGCGGCGAUAACUAUGAUCGUCCUAAGGUAGCGAAAUUCCUUGUCUGGUAAGUUCAGACCCGCACGAAUGGAGUAAUCAUGUGGGCAC
rnacentral:rRNA from 1 species